rfam:Brassica napus, WGS project CCCW01000000 data, contig: 27832
CGCUGGAGGCAGCGGUUCAUCGAUCAAUUCCUGUGAAAAAUGAUGUUGGAAACAAUUUACAUGGCAAGCAUGAAUCGAUCGAUAAACCUCUGCAUCCAGU